AGUCUUAGGAGCAAAAUGGGGAAGUCUGGGUGUUCAAAACAAUUCAUUUAGAUAAUGAGACCUUAUUUUGUACCACAAGUCAGUGAAGAGGGACUCAAGAACUACACACAUGAAUCUUUUCCAAGUUUAUAUUAACUUCAAAAUUGUGGAACCCAAUUUCAUCAUGUUUCACUGUGCAUGCAAAGGUGGUCUUGAGUGUCCCUCCCCCCUUCCCUAUUAAUGGAUUAUAAACAUAAUCACUUGAAAUGUCAGAUGGUGUAAAGUGAUCACUUCCAAAAAAGAGCAAGUAAUUCCACCAAUGAUGAGGAGUUUGUGGUUAAGCCCAGAAAACUAAGUUUUCCUAAGUGAAGAGAUUAGCUUGGGUGCUCUGAAGGAUGCAGAGGUGAAAAAAGCCCAGAGAGCUCUCGCUAGUGUUGGGGAUUCUAAGCAUGAAUACAUUACAUUUUAAAUAACACAAGCAUUGAAUUAUUUAAAAGAACACAAUUAGCGUUAUCGGGGAUGGCUGAGGAUGCAGGGAGGGUGUUUGCAACACGGAGGUGACGUCAUUGCUUGUAUUUAUUUUUGAAUGCAUAGACCGUGAUCACCAGGUUGACAACCCACUUUAAUUUUAUGUGUAAGUUAAACAUAAAACACGUAUUUCCUAGAUAAACUGAGACGAUAAUGACAGGUUAUCUCAGGUGAAGGAAGGGAGAUGAAGCAAAAAAGACAUUGGGGUAAUAAAAGUGCAAGGUGAAACUGGGUUGAAGCUAAAGUUUGUUCACACAAAGGAGCAGAAAUAUGCACAAGCACUGAAUUCCCUCAAAAGCAAGAGGGUGAGUUUGGGGAAACAUUGUUUUAAUAUCACUGUUUAUUUAUAGCUUACUACCUUAAAACAUUAUUUUUUGAAUUCCCUUUUUUAUUGAAAUGUAAUUGACAUAAAGCAUUACAUUGGUUUCAGGUGGACAACAUAAUGAUUCAAUAUUAGUAUAUUUUGCAAAGUGAUCACAAUAAGUCUAGCUAACAUCCAUCACACAUAUAGUUACAAUUUUUUUCCUUGUGAUAAGAACUUUUCAGAUUUCCUCUUAUUCACCUUCAAAUAUAGAAUACAAUAUUAUUAACUAGUCACCGUGCUCUACAUUACAUUUCCAAGGCAUAGUUAUUUUAUAACUGAAAGCUUGUGCCUUUUGACCACUUUCACCCAUUUCACCCACCCCACUCCCCCCACCCCCUGCCUUGGACAACCACCAAUCUGUAAAACAUUAGUUUUUAAUCCUCAGGCUAACUAAGAUCAUCUCCAGCCAUCCCAUUCAAUUAUUCAGAACAUUAUUGACCUCAUGAUCAUUAUCAUCCUUAAGGGAAGCCUCAGGCAAAAUUAUAUGCAAGACCAAGGUUCAGUACCCCUAGGCUCUCUUUCAAGUCCUUCUCUGCUUUAGUCGUGGUUGCUCCCCACUUGGGGCUCAGAGCUCUUACCAUGUCUGAGACAGGCCCCUAUGGACAUCUGUUCUAGGAAAAACAAACGAGCAAAUGGAUUCACACUGAGGUGCUAAAAUGUGAGAAAUUUAAUUGUAACUCUCUCUGUGCAAAGCAUUUACAUUAUCAUCAAGGGCAGAGCCUUUCACUGAACGAGGGGUGAUGGCUUGGAUGUUUAGGCUCCAGCUAGUUCAGGGAAGAAAGCCUUAGCAGGUGUUGAUUUUUUUUUUUUUUCACCCUAGAGCUCACCUCAUGGACAUAGUCCCCUGCUGUUUGUUCCUACCCCCCCACCCCCAUCACUUUUUAUCUACAUUAUGACAGCAGCCUUCUGGUUGGUCUUUCCCUUUUGUAAGCCUUUCUCCAUAAUAGGACUAGUAAACUAAAAGGUUAUAAAGCCUAUAUGUCAGAAUAAUAUUGAAAUUGCCACCUCACUCCGGAGCUUCUCAUUACCCAUUAGGGCAAAUCGGAAUGUCUCAAACCUAGCGAUAAUCGAAGAUUCUUUUUCAGUUACUGUGAAUAGUCCCUCUUGUUCUUCCUUAUGUCUCUACAUUGUCCAGGCUUUAACACCCACGAAUCCCCAGCUUCCCCUGUAGUCCCAACUCAGCCAUCAUCUCUCCUCACCUGUUGUUUCAGAUUACAGACUCACUUUACUUGCCAUCUUUCUUUCUCACCCUGCUCAUCCUGAUCACUCACUUUUCCUGUGCAAUUUUAUGUCUUUCUUCAAGUUUUUCGGACUUAUAACUAGGCAUUUCCUGAUGUCUAUGUCGCUUUGGAUGUGCCAUUUUUUCAUAUUGCUAUUGGUGUGAGAUUCUCAGUAAAUAAGGACAAGGCAGCUUCUUACUAUAGACCUUACUAGACGCGAGACGUCUCUCAUACAUUGUUAACAAUCCCAGCAGGACGUUGUUAUUCCUACUUUGUACAUGAGAAAACUGAGUCAAAGAGGGGUUGGGAAGCUUGACCACACUUAGCUGAUAACUAGCAGAGGGAGGGUGUUAGUCCCACUCCUUGUGGACACACUUUUAUAUUAUUCACAUUUAUACUGGUCUGUGUAGGGAGAAGCCUUGCUUUUGUGGUGAAGGAUUUCGUUUUUGAAAGCCUAGGAAAUGUGCGUUUCUGAGGAUCUACCCUUUCAAAUUAAAAACUGAAGAUUCGGAUACUACUAAUGUGACAGGCAUUGGCAAACACUGCUUAAUUCAUCUCACGUCAGUCUCUGGUCACGUGAUGGUAAUAUAAUUUCACCCGAUUCCAGCCACACAAGAAACUGACAACCUGAUGCCCUGGGAACUGAGUCCUCCAGUUAAAUUCCCCAACCCUCACUUUGAAGAUUUAUGGUAUCAUAUCAUGAACAUGUCUCCCAUAGCAUCAAAAAUACAAAAUUGUUUGUGGUAGUUAUUAUACCUUUCUACUUAUUGAUCACAUAUUGAUGGACAGUGAAACCUGCCAGGGUUAAACCAAGGAGAGACUAGGAGAUAAAAUUAAAAGGAAUAAAAUAUAACACUCUAAUUGCAUUUGUGGCCAAGGGACCUACAUUAUACAGCAACCAGCGUGUAACAGUGUACUUCAUGUUUCAUGAUUUACCUUGCUGAUAAUUGCUUUGCACUCCUAAUAAAUUAACCCACAGAAAACCCAUUCAUCUGCAUCUUCUUUUUAUGCAGAGCUAGAGGAAAAAGGACCAGUAUAGCAAUUUGAGUGGCAAUCAUGCACUGAUUGUAGCAAAGAAAGUAGCGUGGUGAGAGUCUUAAGCAUUCUGAAAGCAUUUCUUUGUAAGAAAAGAGGAAGGAAAAAAGAAGAGAGGGCUUUUGUUAAUUAAGUUCUGUUUUUUGUCUCAUUCGUUAUGGAGAAUAUAUUAUAUUCUAGGUCAGAAAUGCUUGUUUAAUACCGUAUAUUUCCAGCCAGAUAUUUUAUUUUGAUAUUGUUAAUUUAUUUUCUUUAAAUAUUCAUAGAAAAUUCUCAUUGUUAUAUUUAAGAUUCCUGGAAGGAAAGAAUGUAAAGUACAUUAUUGUAUUCCUAAGGGGUUCCUUCCAUAGAUGUUAUUCCACAGUAAAUCUUAUAUUUCAUGCCGCUCAGUUUUUUUUUUUUUGGUUAGACUCUGUAAUCAAAAUAAUUUUUUAUACUCUACUUUUAUUCUAACAUAUCAUGUGCUUUUAAUACAUCAUGCUCUGCCUAGUGCCUUGGUUUCACCUAGCUUACGUGAUCCUUGGAAUCAACAUGGUGCAGUGGAAAAAAGUUGAAGGAGUGAGGAGUCGGGAUUUCUAGUUUCCACCUUGCUACUGAAUUGGACUUAAUAUUGGCGUUAUUGUUGUAUUUACCUAAGUCUCCAUUUUCAUUCUCUUAACAUAGGGGGAUUAUAGGAGAUAAUCUCUAAGUUCCUUUACAAAUUCCAGAAUAUGCAGAAAAAAAUAUUGUGGGUAAGGUUCACAGAGGCAUGUGACUUUCCCACUUUCGUAAAGGUGGGUAGGCAGGGGAAGAAGGACAAAACUAAUUCUGCUUCCAGCAAGAUGGCAAACUUGACACCCUGGCCGACUAUCCUACAGCAAACACCUAAAAAUGCUGCUUAGUAGAGUUUUUUGUUUACUAUUUACUAUUUAUUUAUUUUUUGCUUUUUAGGGCCAUACCUGCGGCAUGUGGAAGUUCUCAGGCUAGGUGUCAAAUUGGAGCUACGGCAUCUGGCCUUCACCACACCCACAACAGCACUAGAUCUGAGUUGCGUCCAUGACCUAUACCACAGCUCACAGCAGUGCCAGAUCCUUAACUCACUGAGCGAGGCCGGGGUGAAAACCCACAUCCUCAUGGAUUCUAGUCUGGUUUUUACCACUGAGCCACUAUGAGAACUCCAUGUUUUUUAAAAAGACUCUGUAGCUGCAUCAUUGAACUGCCAAAAAAAUAAUAAUCCCAUUGGUGGAGCGUUGAAGAAAAAAAUAUAGGAAAUGUGGUUAUAUUUGAAUUUCAGAGAAACAGAAAUACUUUUUCAGUGUGAGUAUAUCCCAAAUACUGCAUGGGAUACACUUAUGCUAAAAAAUUAUUUGCUGCUUGUCUCAAAUUCAGAGUUAAUUGGGCAUUCUGUAUUUUUAUUUGCUAACUCUGACAACUUAGAGGCUAAAAACUAAGUGAAAGCAGGGAUCUGGAGACAUAAAGGAGAACUGAAACUGCUUUCGUAAUGACGGUAUUUGCUGAAUCCAGAUGAUCUUGAGCUUUGUCUUUUCCAUUUCCACAGCAGAGCGGUGAGGAAGGGAACUAAUAAGAGCUCCAUUGAAUAAACUAUGAUCCCCAAAGACUUCACCCUCACUGUUGAGGUAACUAGAAUUAAAUGUGGUCCCUGUCCUGAAUUGUAUAUGUGGAAAAGGGUAGCAUGGAUAGCAAUACACAUAUUUCUCAUUUCAAACCUUAGUGUUGGCUGGGGAAAAAGAAGUCCACUCAGAGUUAUAUACUAUCUGAAUUAUUUACCCUGCUGGCCUCCAUAAACUCAAGUCAGUAAUUCAGCUUAAAGUAAACCUUAUUAACGGUGUGACCAGGCAUUCUGGAAGAAGCAAAGGUGAAUCGCUUGGAAAAAUCCCACAUUGAACCCAAGUCUCAAAAAAUUCCCGUAUAUGGACAUCCAAGGAAGAUAAACUCACAUACAUAACAAAACAUAUGAGGAAAUAUGGCACUAUGAAUGAGAGCAGAAACAAAAGUCAGUAGAGUUCUAAAGACUGCAAAUAUUGGAAUUAAUAGGAAACAUAAAAUAUAUAGUAUUAGUUUGUAAAAGAGGUAAAAAAGAUUGAAAAUGAGUAAAUCCUAAAAACAAUGAUCAAAUGGAUUUUAAAAAAUUCAAGUAUAAUUUUUAGAAGUGAGAAAAUAAUAUUUGAAAUUAAAUAUUCAAUAGAUAGAAACACAAGAUUACAUCUAUACACACUAAGGUGUAACAUGAUAUGAUAUAUUUGAAGGGUAUCUAUAAU
rnacentral:lncRNA from 1 species